CUUCGGUACAUCGGUGACAGGUGGUGCAUGGUGUCGUCAGCUCGUGUCGUGAGAUGUUGGUAAGUCCGCAACGAGCGCAACCCUAUUGUUAGUUGCCAUCAUUCAGUUGGGCACUCUAGCGAGACUGCCGGUAAUAAACCGGAGGAAGGUGGGGAUGACGUCAAAUCAUCAUGCCCCUUAUGACCUGGGCUACACACGUGCUACAAUGGUUGGUACAACGAGUUGCGAGUCGGUGACGGCGAGCUAAUCUCUUAAAGCCAAUCUCAGUUCGGAUUGUAGGCUGCAACUCGCCUACAUGAAGUCGGAAUCGCUAGUAAUCGCGGAUCAGCACGCCGCGGUCGAAUACGUUCCGGGCCUU
rnacentral:rRNA from 1 species